UACGGAGGGGGCGAGCGUUAUUCGGAAUUAUUGGGCGUAAAGGGCGCGUAGGCGGCCCCUUAAGUCAAAGGUGAAAUCCCUCGGCUCAACUGAGGAACUGCCUUUGAAACUGAUGGGCUUGAGGCCGGGAGGGGGUAGCGGAAUUCCCAGUGUAGCGGUGAAAUGCGUAGAUAUUGGGAGGAACACCGGUGGCGAAGGCGGGUCUCUGGGCCGUAACUGACGCUGAGGAGCGAAAGCGUGGGGAGCGAACAGG
rnacentral:rRNA from 1 species